rnacentral:misc_RNA from 1 species
GGAUGAUGCCGACGUGAGGUUCGCAAGCAAUGGCGUUCCACUCUGCUGCAACCAAGGCGCGUUCAUAUGAGGCGUCGAUUCCAUGAUGUUGAAUAGCGAGCUGCGCGCUGGCAGCCUCUUUCGACUAUCAGAAAAUCGAUGCACCGCAAUGCACCUAUGCGACAAAGCAAUACGUCGGUUACAGAAUCUUGCGCGCUGAAAGA